AAGUCGUAACAAGGUUUCCGUAGGUAGCACUGCAGGAAGAUACAUUAAGAUUGCGCAUGGCAGUUCUCACCCUUUGUAUACCGAAACCAUGUUGCUUUGGCAGGCCCCUGCAUUUCUCGGGCCUGCCAGAGGUUAUAAACCCUAGAAUCUCUGCUGUCUGAGUACUAUACAAUAGUUAAAA
rnacentral:misc_RNA from 1 species